rnacentral:lncRNA from 1 species
AUGGCAGCAGCUGCUGGUGUGUCUGGCAGAUGUGAUCUUACUAUGAGAUGGGAUCAAGCUGGAGAACAACUUUGUUCUGCAGUGUUCCUGGAGGGCAGCCUUUGUAAGGAUUUCUGCGUGUGCCUGCCCCCUUUUAUCAUGUUUACUGGCUUCCUUGGGGUUUCCUCAUCUGCUGUGAGCUAUCUGCAUCUUUUGGCCCUUACUGUGCUACUGCCGUCAUCCUUGGGCAGCUGAGUAACCCUUUAUGGGCUACCAAACAGCCAAAGAACCUCCUGAAGUAGACUCCUGGUGCUAUUUUAGGCUGUUGAAUAGAGGGAAGCAGGUAAUGCUUUUUUUUUUUAAUAAGUAUGUCCGGGUGAAUUUAUGAAUAACAUUGAAUGGAAUUGGAGCUUCAGAGAGAAUAAUCUCUUUUAAAAAGUCAUUGUGUGAUAUUGGUAGUUGUCUAGCACCUCUAAAUGAUUCUGUUUUGAGACUCUCAUCUGCAGAGAUGUUCAGGAGAGCUCUUCUGUGAGAAGGGUCGGUGCUGAGGGACUGCUUUUUUACCUGUGUAUGUGAAAUUCCCAAAUUCCUGCCUGCUUCUAUGAAACUGCAAUGGCAAUUCUGGUAAACUCUGACAAUGCAGUUUGUUUACUCAGUAAUUUGGAAUUAAAACUUAGAUUGUGGUGACAAGGCAAUAUCUUUUGAUAUAUACUGUUGCUAACACUAUCUCUGGGUGGAAAACAGCAUAUGCUACUUUAUUGACUCUUUUUAUAAGUCUAAGACCUGAUUUCUCUACCAUGCAAAUGAGCACUAGUGUAAUCCUAUACAUCUAUGUUUACACAUACAGAAUCUAUCAGUGUAAAACCAAAGGCCGUUAACAGGAUUUCUUCACUGUUGACACAAGUUUCCAUGUUCCCAUGGUCUGUCUUAAAUGUUACCUUUUGUGAACAUUGCUUGGGUGCAGAGAGGAAAGGCAGGCCUUCUAAACACAGCUAUGCUUUUUCCAGUUCCCUGCUCUGAUUAAGGUAGUAAAAGCACCUGAGUAGCUACAAUAUUUGGCAAUUGGUUUGUAUUUUCUUUCUAUUCACAUGAUUGUAAGUAAAGAGGGGGAAAAAUAGAAGGUUAGAAAUGUCAGAAUUUGGAAAAUAAUGUGAUGAAAUACUUAAAAGCUACUUCGAGAAACAUAAGACUAUGGAACCUCUAGAUUGUCUCCUUUAUUCUCUGCUUUUCAAAAUCUACAAGCAAUGUGGGUUAAAAUAAACAAGGAUGAAAAUAUUAGCA